CCUACGGGAGGCAGCAGUGAGGAAUAUUGGUCAAUGGGCGCGAGCCUGAACCAGCCAAGUAGCGUGAGGGACGACUGUCCUAUGGAUUGUAAACCUCUUUUGCAAGGGAGCAAAAUGCGGUACGUGUACCGCAUCGUGAGUACCCGGAGAAAAAGCAUCGGCUAACUCCGUGCCAGCAGCCGCGGUAAUACGGAGGAUGCGAGCGUUAUCCGGAUUUAUUGGGUUUAAAGGGAGCGUAGACGGGUAGUUAAGUCUGGAGGGAAAGCUCGGGGCCCAACCCAGGGACUGCUAUUGAGACUGGGUAACUUGAGUACAGGUGGGGUAGGCGGAAUUCCUGGUGUAGCGGUGAAAUGCGUAGAUAUCAGGAGGAACACCGGCGGCGAAGGCGGCCUGCUGGACUGAAACUGACGUUGAGGCUCGAAAGCGUGGGGAGCAAACAGGAGUAGAUACCCGUGUAGUC
rnacentral:rRNA from 1 species